GGUAGCGUGGCCGAGUGGUCUAAGGCGCUGGAUUAAGGCUCCAGUCUCUUCGGGGGUCUCUUCGUGGGUUCGAAUCCCACCACUGCCA